CGCACGGGUGCGUAACGCGUAUGUAACCUACCUCAAACAGGGGCAUAACACUGAGAAAUUGGUACUAAUUCCCCAUAACACCUGAUAGGGCAUCCUAUUAGGUUGAAAGUUCCGGCGGUUUGAGAUGGACAUGCGUUGUAUUAGCUAGUUGGUGAGGUAACGGCUCACCAAGGCGACGAUACAUAGGGGGACUGAGAGGUUAACCCCCCACAUUGGUACUGAGACACGGACCAAACUCCUACGGGAGGCAGCAGUGGGGAAUAUUGCACAAUGGGGGAAACCCUGAUGCAGCAACGCCGCGUGAAGGAAGAAGGUCUUCGGUAUGUAAAGCUCUAUCAGCAGGGAAGAAAAUGACGGUACCUGACUAAGAAGCCCCGGCUAACUACGUG
rnacentral:rRNA from 1 species